GUGAAUCAUCGAAUUUUUGAACGCAAAUUGCGCCUUUUUCGGAAGGCAUGUCUGUUGGAGGGCACCAUUUAAGAAAUAAGGUGCAGCGUUUUUUGUUGCACACGUUGAUGAGCUUUCCAAGAAUUUUAAAUUUUUGGUGGCGCAUAAUGAACAGCGGGAAAGUUUUGUUCAGUUCGAGAGUAGUAAAAUCUUUGCUUGGGUUGUGAAAAGAAUAAUCGCGCAAUGGGGGGGGCAAUUGAUUUUUAUCCCUGCCCCAAUGCCACUCUUUAUCA
rnacentral:misc_RNA from 1 species